GGCCACAUCAUGUUAAAAUAACGUUUCUCCUACGAUUACCGAAGUUAAGCAACGUCGAGCAUGAUCAGUACCGAGAUGGGUGACCACUUAGGAAUACCGGGUGUUGUAAG